rnacentral:rRNA from 1 species
UAGUCCACGCCGUAAACGAUGUCUACUAGCAGCUUGGUUUUUCGGAACCGUUUUGCGCAGCUAACGCAUUAAGUAGACCGCCUGGGGAGUACGGCCGCAAGGUUAAAACUCAAAUGAAUUGACGGGGGCCCGCACAAGCGGUGGAGCAUGUGGUUUAAUUCGAUGCAACGCGAAGAACCUUACCAUCCCUUGACAUCCAGAGAAUUUUUCAGAGAUGAAUUAGUGCCUUCGGGAACUCUGAGACAGGUGCUGCAUGGCUGUCGUCAGCUCGUGUUGUGAAAUGUUGGGUUAAGUCCCGCAACGAGCGCAACCCCUAUCCUUAGUUGCUAGCGCGUAAUGGCGAGAACUCUAAGGAGACUGCCGGUGACAAACCGGAGGAAGGUGGGGACGACGUCAAGGUCAUCAUGGCCCUUACGGGAUGGGCUACACACGUGCGUACAAUGGCAAGUACAAAGGGUUGCGAACUCGCGAGAGUAAGCGGAUCCCAUAAAGCUUGUCGUAGUCCGGAUUGG